UACGGAGGGAGCUAGCGUUGUUCGGAAUUACUGGGCGUAAAGGGCGCGUAGGCGGCCGAUCAAGUCAGAGGUGAAAGCCCAAGGCUCAACCCCGGAACUGCCUUUGAGACUGCGUCGCUCGAAUCCGGGAGAGGCGGGUGGAAUUCCGAGUGUAGAGGUGAAAUUCGUAGAUAUUCGGAAGAACACCAGUGGCGAAGGCGGCCCGCUGGACCGGCAUUGACGCUGAGGUGCGAAAGCGUGGGGAGCAAACAGG
rnacentral:rRNA from 1 species